UGCUCUGGAGCUUGAUCCAGAGCUCAUCAAUGUCAAUGGAAUCUUUCCAUUGACUUCAGUGGGCUUUGGAUCAGGCUCAUGGUUA
rnacentral:pre_miRNA from 1 species